UACGAAGGACCCGAGCGUUAUCCGGAUUUAUUGGGUUUAAAGGGUGCGUAGGCGGAUUGAUAAGUCAGUGGUGAAAGCCCGUCGCUUAACGGCGGAACUGCCAUUGAUACUGUCAGUCUUGAGUAUGGUUGAGGUGGGCGGAAUGUGUCAUGUAGCGGUGAAAUGCUUAGAUAUGACACAGAACACCAAUUGCGAAGGCAGCUCGCUAAACCAUAACUGACGCUGAGGCGCGAAAGCGUGGGGAGCAAACAGG
rnacentral:rRNA from 1 species